rnacentral:rRNA from 1 species
CCCCAGACUCCUACGGGAGGCAGCAGUGGGGAAUAUUGCACAAUGGGGGAAACCCUGAUGCGGCGACGCCGCGUGAAGGAAGAAGUAUCUCGGUAUGUAAACUUCUAUCAGCAGGGAAGAAAACAGACGGUACCUGACUAAGAAGCCCCGGCUAACUACGUGCCAGCAGCCGCGGCAAUAUGUAGGGGGCAAGCGUUAUCCGGAUUCACUGGGUGUAAAGGGAGCGUAGACGGCGACGCAAGUCUGGAGUGAAAGCCCGGGGCCCAACCCCGGGACUGCUCUGGAAACUGCGGCGCUGGAGUACGGGAGUGGCAGGCGGAAUUCCUGGUGUAGCGGUGAAAUGCGUAGAUAUCAGGAGGAACACCGGCGGCGAAGGCGGCCUGCUGGACCGUGACUGACGUUGAGGCUCGAGAGCGUGGGGAGCAAACAGGAUUAGAUACCCUGGUA